CAUGCACCGGUGGGGUCCCUCAGCCUGGCCUGCGCCCUCUCGCAAUCCAGGACCCCUUGGGGGAUGUCGGAGAGCUGGUUUUGGCCCGAUACCCGCAGGCCAGGCUGAGGGACCCCACCAGUGCACA
rfam:Myotis davidii contig225933, whole genome shotgun sequence.